UGGCUGCUUGCAUCAUCACGUAGAAGAAAUGACCUCACAGGAAGGACAGCAGCAGAAACUGAGGAGCCAGGUGAUGGCUUCAGAAAUAUUGCGGUCAUUUUCAUGCAAAUGGCCUCGGUGGUGAAGAAGGAGGGGGGAGAGGAAAGCACAGAGAAAACUGAUGUGUCGGCAGAAUUGUUUCUAUACAGAAUAUUUUUCAAAGACUUCAAUAAGGCAACAGCAGCAUUUGAAAAAGGGAGUAUGAACAAAGAAAACACAGCUGCAUCUUCAUUUCUGAAAGGAAAGAGGUUGGACAUUUUUAUCUUUCCUUCUUUCAAGUGCAAAGCAGCCCCUGAAGUCCUCUCUGGUUUGGAGGAAG